rnacentral:rRNA from 1 species
AGAUGUGAAAGCCCGGGGCGUUAACCUCGGAAUUGCAUUUGAAACUGGCAGGCUAGAGUCUUGUAGACGGGGGUAGAAUUUCAGGUGUAGCGGUGAAAAUGCGUAGAGAUCUGAAGGAAUACCAGUGGCGAAGGCGGCCCCCCUGGACAAAGACUGACGCUCAGAUGCGAAAGCGUGGGGAGCAAACAGGAUUAGAUACCCUGGUAG